UACGUAGGGUGCAAGCGUUGUCCGGAAUCAUUGGGCGUAAAGCGCGCGUAGGUGGCUUCGUACGUCCGUUGUGAAAGUCAAAGGCUCAACCUUUGAAAGCCGAUGGAUACUGUGAAGCUAGAGUACGGAAGAGGCGAGUGGAAUUCCUGGUGUAGCGGUGGAAUGCGCAGAUAUCAGGAGGAACACCAAUAGCGAAGGCAGCGCGCUGGGACGUUACUGACACUGAGGCGCGAAAGCGUGGGGAGCGAACAGG
rnacentral:rRNA from 1 species